rnacentral:lncRNA from 1 species
UAGAGGAGACCCCUCCCAAGAUACAACGCAGCAGCGGGGCCCAACACCAGGGGAAGCUGUACCCUGGUGGUAAGGACUAGAGGUUAGAGGAGACCCCCCGCACAACAAUAAACAGCAUAUUGACGCUGGGAGAGACCAGAGAUCCUGCUGUCUCUACAGCAUCAUUCCAGGCACAGAAA